rnacentral:rRNA from 1 species
AAUAGAUACCCCGGUAGUCCACGCCCUAAACUAUGUCGACUAGUUGUUGGGGGAGUCUGUCCCUCAGUAACGUAGCUAACGCGUGAAGUCGACCGCCUGGGGAGUACGGUCGCAAGAUUAAAACUCAAAGGAAUUGACGGGGACCCGCACAAGCGGUGGAUUAUGUGGAUUAAUUCGAUGCAACGCGAAGAACCUUACCUACCCUUGACAUGCCAGGAACCUCGCAGAGAUGUGAGGGUGCCCGAAAGGGAACCUGGACACAGGUGCUGCAUGGCUGUCGUCAGCUCGUGUCGUGAGAUGUUGGGUUAAGUCCCGCAACGAGCGCAACCCUUGCCAUUAGUUGCUACAUUCAGUUGGGCACUCUAAUGGGACUGCCGGUGACAAACCGGAGGAAGGUGGGGAUGACGUCAAGUCCUCAUGGCCCUUAUGGGUAGGGCUUCACACGUAAUACAAUGGCGCAUACAGAGGGCUGCAAACCCGCGAGGGGGAGCCAAUCCCAAAAAGUGCGUCGUAGUCCGGAUUGUUCUCUGCAA